GUACCGACUAGCUAGGAUAACUAGGAUGCUGCUGGUAGAGUAGCUAGCUAGCUUACCUAGCUGUACCGACUAGCUAGGAUAACUAGGAUGCUGCUGGUAGAGUAGCUAGCUAGCUUACCGAGCUUUAUCGACUAGCCAGGAUAACUAGGAUGCUGCUGAUAGAGUAGCUAGCUAGCUUUCCUAGCUGUACCGACUAGCUUGGCUAGCUAGCAGGUCGUUCGUCUGUAACCUCGUCUCGAGGAUGAUGAUGAAUCCGGUGAACAACAAAAUGAAACAAGGACAGAGAGUGAAAAGGAUCUGGCGACACUCAUACUGUCCCUGACCGUAAAGCAAAAGCAAAUUGAACAAUAAACUUCGACAUCUCAACACUGUAGCGAACUCCAUCGUUGGUAUCCAAGAUCACCUCAGCCACUCUGCGCGUAACCGGGACAAUAUGCUUGGCGCCGCACCGGACGUGGACGCGGGCAGUUUUGUACAGGGACGGGGACAGUUCCAGAAUGCGGACAUGAGCAGUGCAACACAAUCAACUAAACCCAGUCUUUCAUUUUUUAUUAUUAUUAUGAAAAACUAUAUGUAUAGUAAUGUAUAGUAAUGUAUAGUAUUGUAUAGUAAUGUAUAGUAAUGUAUAGUAUUGUAUAGUAUUGUAUAGUAAUGUAUAGUAAUGUAUAGUAUUGUAUAGUAAUGUAUAGUAAUGUAUAGUAUUGUAUAGUAUUGUAUAGUAUUGUAUAGUAAUGUAUUGUAUUGUAUUGUAUAGUAAUGUAUUGUAUUGUAAUGUAUUGUAUUGUAAUGUAUAGUAUAGUAUAGUAUUGUAUAGUAAUGUAUUGUAUUGUAUAGUAAUGUAUUGUAUUAUAAUGUAUUGUAUUGUAUUGUAAUGUAUUGUAUUAUAUUGUAUAGUAUUGUAUAGUAUUGUAUAGUAUUGUAUAGUAUUGUAUAGUAAUGUAUAGUAUUGUAUAGUAUUGUAUAGUAUUGUAUAGUAUUGUAUAGUAAUGUAUUGUAUUGUAUUGUAUUGUAUUGUAUUGUAAUGUAUUAUAUUGUAUUGUAUUGUAUUGUAAUGUAUUGUAUUGUAUAGUAAUGUAUAGUAUUGUAUAGUAUUGUAUAGUAAUGUAUUGUAUUGUAUUGUAUUAUAUUGUAUUAUAAUGUAUUGUAAUGUAUUGUAAUGUAUUGUAUUGUAUUGUAUUGUAAUGUAUUGUAAUGUAUAGUAUAAUAUUGUAUAGUAUUGUUUAGUAAUGUAUUGUAUUGUAUUGUAUUGUAUUGUAUUGUAAUGUAUUGUAUUGUAAUGUAUUGUAUUGUAUUGUAUUGUAUUGUAAUGUAUUGUGUUGUAUUGUAUUGUAUUGUAUAGUAAUGUAUAGUAUUGUAUAGUAUUGUAUUGUAUUGUAUUGUAAUGUAUUGUAUUGUAAUGUAUUGUAUUGUAUUGUAUUGUAUUAUAAUGUAUUGUAAUGUAUUGUAAUGUAUUCUAUUGUAAUGUAUUGUAAUGUAUUGUAAUGUAUAGUAUAGUAUUGUAUAGUAAUGUAUUGUAUUGUAUUGUAUUGUAAUGUAUUGUAAUGUAUAGUAUAGUAUUGUAUAGUAAUGUAUAGUAUUGUAUAGUAUUGUAUAGUAUUGUAUAGUAAUGUAUUGUAUUGUAUUGUAUAGUAAUGUAUUGUAUUGUAAUGUAUUGUAUUGUAAUGUAUAGUAUAGUAUAGUAUUGUAUAGUAAUGUAUUGUAUUGUAUAGUAAUGUAUUGUAUUAUAAUGUAUUGUAUUGUAUUGUAUUGUAAUGUAUUGUAUUGUAUUGUAUUAUAUUGUAUAGUAUUGUAUAGUAUUGUAUAGUAUUGUAUAGUAUUGUAUAGUAAUGUAUAGUAUAGUAUAGUAUUGUAUAGUAAUGUAUUGUAUAGUAAUGUAUUGUAUUGUAUUGUAUUGUAUUGUAAUGUAUUCUAUUGUAAUGUAUUGUAUAGUAAUGUAUUGUAUUGUAAUGUAUUAUAUUGUAUUGUAUUGUAAUGUAUUGUAUUGUAUAGUAAUGUAUAGUAUUGUAUAGUAUUGUAUAGUAAUGUAUUGUAUUGUAUUGUAAUGUAUUGUAUUGUAUUGUAUUGUAAUGUAUUGUAAUGUAUAGUAUAAUAUUGUAUAGUAUUGUUUAGUAUUGUAUUGUAUUGUAAUGUAUUGUAUUGUAAUGUAUUGUAUUGUAUUGUAAUAUAUUGUAUUGUAUUGUAAUGUAUUGUGUUGUAUUGUAAUGUAUUGUGUUGUAUUGUAUUGUAUAGUAAUGUAUAGUAUUGUAUAGUAUUGUAUUGUAUUGUAUUGUAUUGUAAUGUAUUGUAUUGUAUUGUAAUGUAUUGUAUUGUAUUGUAUUGUAUUAUAAUGUAUUGUAAUGUAUUGUAAUGUAUUCUAUUGUAAUGUAUUGUAAUGUAUUGUAAUGUAUAGUAUAGUAUUGUAUAGUAAUGUAUUGUAUUGUAUUGUAAUGUAUUGUAAUGUAUAGUAUAGUAUUGUAUAGUAAUGUAUUGUAUUGUAUUGUAAUGUAUAGUAAUGUAUUGUAUUGUGUUAUAAUGUAUUGUAUUGUAUUGUAUUGUAUUGUAAUGUAUUGUAAUGUAUUGUAAUGUAUUGUAAUGUAUUGUAUUGUAUUGUAUUGUAAUGUAUUGUAUUGUAUUGUAAUUCAUUGUAUUGUAAAAAAGUCAGCCAGAGUUGACGUGGGCCAUCGUUCAAAUAAAGAGAUGCCUCCCUGACCACCAGUGUGUUUGGAUAUAAUGAAGAUCAGUUCAGUGAAGAAGAACCACUAGAGUUCUGAUCAAAGAACCCUAUAAAGGGUUCUAUAUAGAAGUUUAGUGGUUCUGUAUAUUAAGCAAGAUAGAACCCUUCUUGGUUUAAACAGGAGUGAAUACCGUGUUGAUAUAAUGGUAAUAUUGUCUGAAUUCCGCUUGUAACAACAAUCAGAACUAGUAAAACAAUAAAGUUAUGCCUGCCAACAUAUUAGGCAAUAAUUAAGAGUAGGCAAAACGAUUGUGUCAUACCAAAAUUCUAUAGGUGUGUGUGUGUUGGUGAGACAACCACAUAUCACAGUCAAAUAUACAGGAUACAAACAUUUCAUUCCAGCUAUAUAGUGUUUUGCAAAAGAAAAAUUCAUACACAAAAAAUCUAUGAAUUAAAAUCUUAGAACAACAAUAUUUUACAGACUCCUGAAGGUACCCGUAAGCAAUCAUUUCUGAUGAAAAAUAAUAAAUGUGAAAAAAUUGUCGGUAUAACAUUUUAGAAACAAAGUUCUUAAACGACAUUGUCAUCUCACCUCUUAGUUUUGAUGUCAUGUCCCCCAGAGAGAUGCAUUUUAGAGGCAGGGCCCCCUUCCUUCCUCUCCCCAGAGAAACUCAUUUUAGAGGCAGGGCCCCCCUCCUCUCUCUCCCCAGAGAAAAUAAUUUUAGAGGCAGGGCCCCCCUCCUCUCUCUCCCCAGAGAAACUCAUUUUAGAGGCAGGGCCCCCCUCCUCUCUCUCCCCAGAGAGACUCAUUUUAGAGGCAGGACCCCUAAACAGAGAUCCAGCACGUUGGUUGUGGUUAACACAGUGACAACUAAUUAUUGAAUAUCAAUUGUUGUAUUUUAUUCAUUAUCUCUUAGAAAUAAAACAUUUACUAACAGACAUAGAAAGACACAUCCAAACAGUUAGGUGAUUUAAUAUUUUUCACCCUUUCUCCAUGUAGUGGAACUAAUAAUAAUAAAACAAUUUAACAACAAUAAUAUUAAUAAUAAUAAUGUGUCACUUUCUCUUUUAAUAAUUUCUCUCAUUCUAGUGUGUUGCUUUGUUUAACAGGUAUGAUAUUAUUAUGCUGUUACUGAAUUCAGUUCAUAAUAACAAUGUUAAGAAAAGUAUGUUCAGUGGUUUCAA
rnacentral:lncRNA from 1 species